rnacentral:rRNA from 1 species
UUAUUGGGCGUAAAGCGCGUGUAGGCGGUUUYUUAAGUCUGAUGUGAAAGCCCUGGGCUCAACCYGGGAAGUGCAUUGGAAACUGGGAAACUUGAAUACGGGAGAGGGUAGUGGAAUUCCUGGUGUAGGAGUGAAAUCCGUAGAUAUCAGGAGGAACACCGGUGGCGAAGGCGGCUGCCUGGACCGAUAUUGACGCUGAGACGCGAAAGCGUGGGGAGCAAACAGGAUUAGAUACCCUGGUAGUCCACGCCGUAAACGAUGAGUACUAGGUGUUGCGGGUAUUGACCCCUGCAGUGCC